AUUGAACGCUGGCGGCAUGCUUUACACAUGCAAGUCGAACGGUAACGCGGGGCAACCUGGCGACGAGUGGCGAACGGGUGAGUAAUGUAUCGGAACGUGCCCAGUUGUGGGGGAUAACUGCCCGAAAGAGCAGCUAAUACCGCAUACGACCUGAGGGUGAAAGCGGGGGAUCGCAAGACCUCGCGCAAUUGGAGCGGCCGAUAUCAGAUUAGGUAGUUGGUGGGGUAAAGGCCUACCAAGCCGACGAUCUGUAGCUGGUCUGAGAGGACGACCAGCCACACUGGGACUGAGACACGGCCCAGACUCCUACGGGAGGCAGCAGUGGGGAAUUUUGGACAAUGGGGGCAACCCUGAUCCAGCCAUGCCGCGUGCGGGAAGAAGGCCUUCGGGUUGUAAACCGCUUUUGUCAGGGAAGAAAAGACUCCUACUAAUACUGGGGGUUCAUGACGGUACCUGAAGAAUAAGCACCGGCUAACUACGUGCCAGCCGCCGCUGUAAUAC
rnacentral:rRNA from 1 species